UAUGGUGCGUGGAUGAUUAAGGGGCACAUUUAAAGUCACAGGACAAUCACGAUGAGAGAAAAAACAGAACUGGAACUUGAAAGUCUGGGGACAUACUGCUCUCUUCUUGGUAUUCUUCUCUCUGAAAUUCCAACCUUGGCAGAUGACCAAAGUGAACAGGGGGUGCCAAGGAAGGGAAAGGGAGAAGAAAAAGUACAUGGCACUCCUGAUCGAAGAUAAAGUUUGACUGUAAACUCCAAUCAUCUUUAAAGAGAGACUUCGGUGAUCAGACGGUAGCAGGAACUUUAUUUGAAGUUGUUAUGUUAGAAGAUCAAAGAAGAAAGGUGAACUAUGCAAGAGUAAGAUCAAAAAGAAGAAAUUUCAUUUUGAUUUUUAGAUAUCAAGGAAUAAUACAUACACUAAAGCCUAUUAGUGAUUGUCAAAGAGUAUAAAGGCAACAUCAAGUAUGCAGGUCGGAAUUGUUUUCAUUCUUUUAACUAAUAGCAAAUGUUAAUUUUACUUUGUCUUUCCUUGUAUGAGUUCCUGUCUACAUCUUUGCUAUGCAAACAUUCAUGUAAUUGUAUCAGAC
ensembl:lncRNA